rnacentral:lncRNA from 1 species
AAACUACGACGCAAAGAUUUUUUUGAGACAUCUACCAACGAACACGGCUAUUUUCUUUAAAGGUGAACCAGUGCAAUGCCAUGACUGCACAAACACCUCUCGGUGGUUUCAAACAGUGCGGCAGGACGCGAAUUGGGAAAGGAAAGGUUGGACGAUGCCUACCUUCCAACCAAAACUAUUCUGAUUAUAAAACACCAUUCAAUCACUGAUGUGUCUCGCAACAGCACUCUACAAAUGUUACGUGAAAUCCAAUAUGGCCACAUGAACUUUUACUAUUACGCGCUUUCAAUGAGACAAGAAUGAAAUGUUGGUCUAUCGAGCUCAGGCAGAAAAUGGUCGACUACUACUUGAUCGUAAAUUGAGUUUAUGGCAAUGCGUUCAGGUGGCUGCUACGAAGACGCAAAAGUGAUUCAACACUCCUAGAUUAGCUACUAAAUUUUCAAAAACUCUUUAAUCAAGAGAAAUCUGUAUCAAGAAAUAAAGUAAAGACACUUCGAAAGUU